rnacentral:rRNA from 1 species
AGAGUUUGAUCCUGGCUCAGGACGAACGCUGGCGGCGUGCCUAAUACAUGCAAGUCGAACGCACUCUCGUUUAGAUUGAAGGAGCUUGCUCCUGAUUGAUAAACAUUUGAGUGAGUGGCGGACGGGUGAGUAACACGUGGGUAACCUGCCCUAAAGUGGGGGAUAACAUUUGGAAACAGAUGCUAAUACCGCAUAAAACCUAACACCGCAUGGUGUAGGGUUGAAAGAUGGUUUCGGCUAUCACUUUAGGAUGGACCCGCGGUGCAUUAGUUAGUUGGUGAGGUAAAGGCUCACCAAGACCGUGAUGCAUAGCCGACCUGAGAGGGUAAUCGGCCACACUGGGACUGAGACACGGCCCAGACUCCUACGGGAGGCAGCAGUAGGGAAUCUUCCACAAUGGACGAAAGUCUGAUGGAGCAACGCCGCGUGAGUGAAGAAGGUUUUCGGAUCGUAAAACUCUGUUGUUGGAGAAGAAUGUAUCUGAUAGUAACUGAUCAGGUAGUGACGGUAUCCAACCAGAAAGCCACGGCUAACUACGUGCCAGCAGCCGCGGUAAUACGUAGGUGGCAAGCGUUGUCCGGAUUUAUUGGGCGUAAAGCGAGCGCAGGCGGUUUCUUAAGUCUGAUGUGAAAGCCUUCGGCUCAACCGAAGAAGUGCAUCGGAAACUGGGAAACUUGAGUGCAGAAGAGGACAGUGGAACCCCAUGUGUAGCGGUGAAAUGCGUAGAUAUAUGGAAGAACACCAGUGGCGAAGGCGGCUGUCUGGUCUGUAACUGACGCUGAGGCUCGAAAGCAUGGGUAGCAAACAGGAUUAGAUACCCUGGUAGUCCAUGCCGUAAACGAUGAGUGCUAGGUGUUGGAGGGUUUCCGCCCUUCAGUGCCGCAGCUAACGCAUUAAGCACUCCGCCUGGGGAGUACGACCGCAAGGUUGAAACUCAAAGGAAUUGACGGGGGCCCGCACAAGCGGUGGAGCAUGUGGUUUAAUUCGAAGCAACGCGAAGAACCUUACCAGGUCUUGACAUCCUUUGACCACUCUAGAGAUAGAGCUUUCCCUUCGGGGACAAAGUGACAGGUGGUGCAUGGUUGUCGUCAGCUCGUGUCGUGAGAUGUUGGGUUAAGUCCCGCAACGAGCGCAACCCUUAUUACUAGUUGCCAGCAUUUAGUUGGGCACUCUAGUGAGACUGCCGGUGACAACCCGGAGGAAGGUGGGGACGACGUCAAAUCAUCAUGCCCCUUAUGACCUGGGCUACACACGCGCUACAAUGGAUGGUACAACGAGUUGCGAGACCGCGAGGUUUAGCUAAUCUCUUAAAACCAUUCUCAGUUCGGAUUGUAGGCUGCAACUCGCCUACAUGAAGCCGGAAUCGCUAGUAAUCGCGGAUCAGCAUGCCGCGGUGAAUACGUUCCCGGGCCUUGCACACACCGCCCGUCA